rnacentral:tRNA from 2 species
GCCCCCGUAGCUCAGUGGACAGAGCAGGAGCCUUCUAAGCUCUUGGUCGGAGGUUCGAAUCCUUCCGGGGGCG